AUCUAUGGCCAUACAACCCUGAACGAGCCCAAUCUCAUCUGGUCUCAGUAGCUAAGCAGGGUUGGGCCUGGUUAGUACUUGGAUGGGAGAGAUCAGGAGGAUCACGAUU
rnacentral:rRNA from 1 species